rnacentral:rRNA from 1 species
AUGGCGCCGAGCCUGACUGCCAGACCGUCCCCCCUUCCAUCUCCUCGCCUCUCCUUCGCCAAGAACCAUCGCCUCCUCCUCGGCGUCAGGUGCGGCUCCGGCUCGCCCGGAAGCGGCGAUGACGACGCAUCGCCGGUCGUCAGGGCGGCGGUCAGCGCCGUCACUGAGCUCAUCAGGGCCCUCUCUCCCCAGAAGCCAAGGCAAGCUGUCGAAGCCGUCGACGCAGAGUCGGAGUCGCUUCGCAGCGUCGACGACGUGGUGGCUGUUCUUGAAGCCGACUACCGGCGUGCUUAUUUCCUUACUGGGAACUUCACUCUGGGCAUAUAUGCUGAAGAUUGCUUGUUUGAAGACCCGACGAUAAAGUUCCGUGGAAGGUCUAGAUACGCCCAGAAUCUGGAUUUGUUAGUGCCCUUCUUCGACAGCCCUUCGCUCCAACUUGAAAACAUAGACAAGGGUUCGAGGGUCGACACAAAGUUUAUCAUAGCAACAUGGACAUUAAGGACGUAUUUGAAGCUCCCGUGGAAGCCCCUCAUCGCCAUAAGAGGGAACACAACAUACGAUUUAGAUGAAGAAUAUAAGGUAGUAAUUAAGGGGGAUAAAAUAAACCAUGUAAACUCAUUUCAUCCAUCCCUUAUUUCACACUAUCAUUCAGAUUUCAAAGGUUGCACUACGUUUCAGGUCGUUAGGCACGCAGAGAGUUGGGACGUCUCUCCACUGGAAGCGAUUGGACAGUUAUUCGUCUCGGCUCCAAAGCAAACGGGCAGCUGA